UACGAAGGGGGCUAGCGUUGUUCGGAAUUACUGGGCGUAAAGCGCACGCAGGCGGAUUUAUAAGUCAGGGGUGAAAUCCCGGGGCUCAACCUCGGAAUUGCCUUUGAUACUGUCUAUCUUGAGUCCGGGAGAGGUGAGUGGAAUUCCAAGUGUAGAGGUGAACUUCGUAGAUAUUAGGAAGAACACCAGUGGCGAAGGCGGCUCACUGGCCCGUUACUGACGCUCAUGUGCUAAAGCGUGUGGAGCAAACAGG
rnacentral:rRNA from 1 species